AGACUUUUAUUAUAAGAGUAUUUGAACGUGAGUACCAUUGUACCAAUUUUAUAAGUUAAGUUUUAAUGCAAUUGCUAGUCUGUCGGAGCUGGAUACGUCAAUCUGUUGAUACAGACUCUCCUGUUAAAGCGGGAUUUGUGGAUCUUAUGAUUUUUUUCGUUGACGUGGGACAAUAUUUGCGCAGUGUGGGAUGCCUCUUUGAUGAAGGAAGGAGUUUUCAAAAUCCUUACACAACGGUCGCACCUUAUUUUCCUCUUGGCCAGAGCUUCUGCCCAAUGUUAUCACGGCCUAUCGACUCACGGGACAAGCAAUAUGCUAAGGGGCCCAACUAAGAAUAAUUUUUAAGGAAAAUAUAUGGACUCAAAUGUUUAAGAAAGAAAAAGGGUACAAUGGGAACUUUAUGAGAUUUUAAAGCAUUCAUAAAUAUGCAUAGUUUUUACUUACUGAGCUUUAGCUCAUUUUAGUUUUGUGAUGCAGAUGAGGAGGCACAUUUUGGUAUUGACUAGCUGGUUGCUUGAUUUGUCUUUUGUCACCAUGAUCAUACAAAUGUAGACGAGCUUGACCUGUAGGCAAUAUUUUUGUUUUGAGAUAUUUUGGUGUAAUAUAAAUACUACUGCUAAUGGCAAAAUAGACUGGUGAAAACCUCUUUUGAUUCUAUAUUUUGUAAAGACACUUUUAACAAGAAAUGCCAUGCAGUUACUUUUGUUUAAAGGUUUUAGAAAGUUCAAGAUUUGCCCAUUUUUUUAAAAACAAAAGAUAAUGUUUAAGAAAGAAUAUUACUUCAUAGUUUGAUUGUAUAUGACAUUAUGAUUAAACUAGAGGGUGUUAUAAAAUGGGUCAUUUUUGGUUAGCAAAACUAGCGAUGCGGGAUGAACUGGAAGCCGAGUUACGGUGCCUAACUGCGCACUAACCUAGAACCCACAAAAAGUGUUUUUCGAUUAACAUAGCAGGAUGAUGGUCAUAGAAGUCGAAAUCCUCUAGGGAUUUUGUAAUAACUCACCUGCCAAACCAACUAGCCCCAAAAAUGGAUGACACUUAAGUGCGCGACUUAUACCCGACCGUCGAGGUAAGUGCCAGGCCCCGAUGAGUAAAAAGGGCAUUGUGGUUGCUGCAAAACCUUGGGUGUGAGCUUAGGUAGAGUGGCUGUCGGUGUAGAUCUUGGUGAUAGUAGCAAAAUAAUCAAAUGAGAACUUUGACGGCCGAAAAGGGGAAAGGUUCAAUGUGAACGACACUUGCACAUGGGUUAGUUGAUCCUAAGAGACGGGGAAAGCCCGUCUGAUAGCGUUGUGAGCAUGAGUUUCGAAAGGGAAUCGGGUUAAAAUUCCUGAACCGGGACAUGGCGGCUGACAGCAAGGUUAAAGAGUUUGGAGACAUCAGCGGGGGCCUUGGGAAGAGUUAUCUUUUUUCUGUUUAACAGCCCAUCCACCCUAGAAAUAGCUCAGUCAAAGGUAGAGUCCAAUAGCUAGAAGAGCACCGCACGUCACGUGGUGUCUGGUGAGUCCCCGACGGCCCUUGAAAAUCCAGAGGACCGAAUGCCUCCCACACCUGAUCGUACUCAUAAUCACAUCAGGUCUCCAAGCUGAAUAGCCUCUGGUCGAUGAAACAAUAUAGGCAAGGGAAGUCGGCAAAUUGGAUCCAUAACUUCGGGAAAAGGAAUGACUCUAAAGGCUUGGCAUGGGAGUCCUAGUUCCGAACCCGUCGGUUGUCAGUAGACUGCUCGUGCUCCAGCGGUGAGAGUGGGUUGCCGCAUACUGGCUGAGAGAUAGACUAGGAAUGGCUCCUUCAGGGGCCUUCCCCUAGCAUCGAACACUCGACUCAAAACUGGUACAGACAAGAGGAUUCAGACUUUUUAAUUAAAAUAAAGCAUUGCGAUGGUCCCUGUGGAUGCUCACGCAAUGUGAUUUCUGCCUAGUGCUCUGAAUAUCAAAGUGAAGAAAUUCAACCAAAUACAGGUAAAUGGCGGGAGUAACUAUGACUCUCUUAAGGUAGUCAAAUGACUCGUCCUCUAAUUAGUGACGUGUAUGAAUGGAUUAAUGAGAUUCUCACUGUCCUUGUCUACUAUCCAGCAAAACAAAAGCUAAGGGAAUGGGCUUAACAGAAUCAGCAGGGAAAGAAGACCCUGUUGAGCUUGACUCUAGUCCGACUUUGUGAAAAGACUUGAGAGGUAUAUUAUAAGUGGGAGUCAGAAAUGGCGAAAGUGAAAUACCUCUACUUUUAAUGUUAUUUUACUUAUUCUGUGAAUUGGAGGCGGGAAACUACCCCUCUUUUUGAACCUAAGGCCUACUUCGGUAGGCCGAUCUGGACAGAAGACAUUGUCAGGUGGGGAGUUUGGCUGGGGUGGCACAUAUGUUAAAAGAUAAUGUAGGUGUCCUAAGAUGAGUUCAACAAGAACAAAAAUCUCGUGUCGAACAAAAGGGUAAAAGCUCGUUUGAUUUUGAUUUCUAGUAUGAAUACGAACCGUAAAAGCAUGGCCUAUCGAUCCUUUAGACCUUCGAAAUUUGAAGCUAGAGGUGUUAGAAAAGUUACCAUAGGGAUAACUGGCUUGUGGCAUCCAAGCGUUCAUAGCGACAUUGCUUUUUGAUCCUUCGAUGUUGGCUCUUCCUAUCAUUAUGAAGCAGAAUUCACUAAGUGUUGGAUUAUUCACCCACUAAUAGUGAACAUGAGCUGGGUUUAGACCGUCAUGAGAUAGGUUAGUUUCACCUUACUGAUGACAGUGUCACAAUAGUAAUUCAACCUAGUACGAGAAGAACCGUUAAUUCGGACAAUUGGUCAUCGCGCUUGGUUAAAAAGCUAGUGGCGCGAAGCUGCCAUGCACUGGAUUAUAACUGAAUGCCUCUAAGUUAGAAUCUGGGUUAGAAAUGAUGUGUGUGCCCGCCGCACAUUUGCCAACUAACAGUAGGGGCAUGCCCCCAAAGGCACGUGCUGUUGAUGAAGCCCGCAUGACGGAUAUUAUUUUUAAUUAGAACUAACUCACCCACUUCAAUAGACUUAGUCUCACGCUU
rnacentral:rRNA from 1 species